rnacentral:rRNA from 1 species
UACGGAGGGUGCAAACGUUGCUCGGAAUCAUUGGGCGUAAAGCGCACGUAGGCGGCCUGUUAAGUCGGGUGUGAAAGCCCUGGGCUCAACCCAGGAAGUGCACUCGAAACUGGCAGGCUUGAAUAUGGAAGAGGGUCGCGGAAUUCCCGGUGUAGAGGUGAAAUUCGUAGAUAUCGGGAGGAACACCAGUGGCGAAGGCGGCGACCUGGGCCACUACUGACGCUGAGAAGCGAAAGCAUGGGGAGCGAACAGG